AUACGAGGGGUGCAAGCGUUAAUCGGAAUUACUGGGCGUAAAGCGUUCGUAGGCGGUUUGUUAAGCAAGAUGUGAAAGCCCUGGGCUCAACCUGGGAACUGCAUUUUGAACGGGCAAGCUAGAAUACUGUAGAGGGUGGUGGAAUUUCCAGUGUAGCGGUGAAAUGCGUAGAGAUUGGAAGGAACAUCAGUGGCGAAGGCGGCCACCUGGACAGAUAUUGACGCUGAGGAACGAAAGCGUGGGGAGCGAACAGGAUUAGAAACCCGAGUAGUCC
rnacentral:rRNA from 1 species